GACGAACGCUGGCGGCGUGCCUAAUACAUGCAAGUCGAACGAGCGGGGACGGGUGAGUAACACGUGGGUAACCUCCCAUCAGAGGGGAUAACACUUGGAAACAGGUGCUAAACCGAUACUGAUGGAUGGACCCGCGGUGCAUUAGCUAGUUGGUGAGGUAACGGCUCACCAAGGCCAAGAUGCAUAGCCGACCUGAGAGAGUGAUCGGCCACACUGGGACUGAGACACGGCCCAGACUCCUACGGGAGGCAGCAGUAGGGAAUCUUCGGCAAUGGACGAAAGUCUGACCGAGCAACGCCGCGUGAGUGAAGAAGGUUUUCGGAUCGUAAAACUCUGUUGUUAGAGAAGCGGUAUCUAACCAGAAAGCCACGGCUAACUACGUGCCAGCAGCCGCGGUAAUAC
rnacentral:rRNA from 1 species